GACGAACGCUGGCGGCGUGCCUAAUACAUGCAAGUCGAACGCAGUGGGGACGGGUGAGUAACACGUGGGUAACCUCCCAUCAGAGGGGAUAACACUUGGAAACAGGUGCUAAAACGAAACUGAUGGACGGACCCGCGGUGCAUUAGCUAGGUGGGGGGGUAACGGCUCACCAAGGCCACGAUGCAUAGCCGACCUGAGAGGGUGAUCGGCCACACUGGUACGAAGACAGGGCCCCGACUCCUACGGGAGGCAGCAGUAGGGAAUCUUCGGCAAUGGACGAAAGUCUGACCGGUCAACGCCGCGUGAGUGAAGAAGGUUUUCGGAUCGUAAGACUCUGUUGUUAGAGAAGCGGUAUCUAACCAGAAAGCCACGGCUAACUACGUGCCAGCAGCCGCGGUAAUUC
rnacentral:rRNA from 1 species